rnacentral:lncRNA from 1 species
AUUAUAGAAUAGUGUUCAUCUAUUUCAUACCCAGCUGUGGAUAAAUCCCUCUGUAACUUGACCGGCAUCUCCAGCAGUUUUUCUGUCUAUGUCCCGCAGUCUACAUUGCUCGAUGGAAGGGAGACAUUUCAUCUGUUGACCCUGUAAAGAAAACAUACUUUUUACUUAAGGAAGUUAUUUGAUUAUAACAAAUACUUUUUAAUUUUUUGUGAUACGUAUAGAGUGUAUUUUGCUUUUUUUCAAAUAUG